AUGCCAUGUGCCAAACCUGGAGUCUGAAGCAGCUCCCCUGACACACAGGGAGAGAGACACCUUUUUAUUACAAACUCAACUUGCAAGCCAACCUUGACAGAGAGCGACGAUAUUUUCACAUUAUAAAGCGCACUCCGGCAUGCUGGAGCGGCAUCCCUCACGUUAACCAGCUCGGAGCUGGCACGAGCCCUCGGUGCUGGUCCGAAGGCUGUGCGGGUGCAGAGGAGGAGGAGGAUGAGUGAGCUGCCGGGAGGAAGCACCCGCAGUGCUUCCCACCCGCCUGCAAGGAGUUUUGAAGGGGGAGGAUUUAUCAAAAGUUUGAGGAGGUGCUGCAGCCACUGCACAGCAGUGGCAGGAAUCCCAGAGGGACUGUCCCUGUCCUUCAGACCCCAGAGCUCAAUGCAGGUAAAACCAGUUGUUUUCAAAAGCUCUUUGGGACAAAGUGCAGCCUUGGCUCUGGUAAGGACUAUAUUCCUACCCUUUCAGGUUAGCAUGGAAUUAGAAAAGAAGGAGUAGGUGAAUAAUUUAAUGUCCAUCCUCAAUACUGUAUCAUUAUUUUUGAAGACUGCUCGGAUAAGGAAGUUUUGAAGCGUUUGUGUUUUUUUACAGCUACCAAUUAUGAAAUUUGGCAUGAAAAUGAAGCUGUGUGUUACAUGAGUGGCUUCGGUGUGAUGAUGAUUUAUUGUCCACUUUUCCUUAUGAAAGCCACUUGGUAAAUUCCUUGUGAUUUGUAAACCUACAGGCAGCGUAUUGGAUGGAGAUGAUGGAUUGUGUGGCCGAGGGAACAGAUUUCUGCCUGCCCGUGGGACUCAUUUCUAAUGACAGUUUUGUGGUGUCAGUGGGAGGUUGGGAAGGAAGCAGCCUAGAAUUUUCUGUUUUCUUCUGCUUUUCCUUGAAUCUUCAACUUGGUUUCAGUGACAAGAGAAAAUCUUGCUGUUCAGUUUUGUGCUGCAGCCAGUGCUCAGCCUCAGCAAAGCAUUUUCUCUUGGCAGUGAACGAGCACACGGGUGUCUGUCUGCACCUUUCUCCCAAAUGCAGAAAAGCUUCUGCUUACAAAAACGAAACAAACACUGUUUAAAUUGGCAUGUGCCACCGUGAAUCUUCUUGUGAUUUGUCAGCUCUGUGAACCUCUGGACACUGUGAGUUACCCAUGAGAGCACUGAUCUCCUUUUGAGCUGGAUUCAGCCAGUGAACAUUUCAAAAAGUGUUUCAACUUUCCAUGUAUGGGUCCAAGUUUUGUAAGAAGGGACUCCUUUCAAGGGAUGGCAUUUCACCAUGUCAGUCUUGAAAAAAGCUGAAAUAGUCAUUUCAUGUUCAAAUGACAUUUCAGUUCCUGCUCAGCACCAUUCUCUUUCCUGAGCCAGCUGUGUCCUUCUCUGCAGAAGGACAGAGGGUUUCCAGGAUGCUGUUUGCUACAGGAGCAGGGGACAGGGCUCAGAGCUGCUGUUCCAUACCCCAAACACACUCCUGCUGUUUUGAAGGAAAACCAUCUUUUCUGUUGACAUCAGCAAAGCUGCACUUUGUACUUGCAGUCAAGGAAAAAAUUGUUUGGGUUGAGCAAAAUUCUGCUGUGCCAUUGCCAGUAAAACACCCGGAAACCAGGAGGAUGGAGAGAACAGACCUGAUGACAAAAAGCAUGGAAUUGUCUCUUACGAGUCUCAUGAUCUUUUCUAAUCACUGUCAGCCUUGAAGAAAUGUUGUGAAUGCUCUAAUUGGCUGUGAUGGGGAAGACAGAAGAUUCCCUGUGCAUGAGAAGAGGUGAUGUACUAAAAAUGAUUCAGCGUUCUGUUUUGUCAUGUAGCUCAUCAGCGCUGUCUUGCUUUUAUUGAGAAAAUAUGCAGAAAGCACUUUAGAAGCAAAACUGUUGAACAUACCAGCUCUAAUCACUUGACUUUCAUUUGUCAGUGCUGUGUGACUGCCAGGUCCCCUUCUCUGUGCAGACCCUGCAGCUGGAGGAGGCUGUGCUGGAGCCAAGCACUGCCCUGAUGCCACCAUCACUCCCACAGUGAGGCCUGGGUGACCUCAGUGAUGCAUUUGGGGGAGACUUUUCAACCCUCAUGACCUGCUAAAGAACCUGCAAUUCCACUCAUGUCCUUUGUGAGCAUUUUCGGCUUCUUAGCUAAAGAGUACAAAAGGUUGGAGGGGAAUGUGUGAGAUCCCAUUAAGAUUCAUUAGUGUGAAGCCUUGCAUCUAAUUAAUCAUCACAGCCCCCCAGGUCUGUUAUUAGGUGCUGGUGCCAGGUCAGUUACAGUGAAAGUCAAUCCCUGUGGGUCAGUUUGUGUGCAGGAGAAGUGGCAGUGACAUCCCAAGGGCUGCACCUUCACAGAGGUGUCUGGGGAGCUCCAGGGUCCCAGGGCCUGGCUGGUGUUCUGUACCUGGCAGGACCCCAGGUGUUUCUUGGAGGACAGUCCACUCACAGGAGUGCAGGGACAGCCCCAGGCAGAGUGACCCAAAGGAAGGAGGAGUGGGAUGCUCCAGACCCAGGGUCCAUGAUGCCACUGCCUACUAGUCCCAUCCUGAAAGAAUGAAAUAACUCAUUGGCAAUGGAUAGCUACACUUUGAAUAGAAAUCACCAUUAUUUUACAAGAAGAAAAUUUGCUCUUAGCUUGCCUUCUGUUUUUACCCUCCAGAAUGUCUCAGGGCAUAUGGGAGAUAUUAGUUUUUGUAUUUAGGGUUGUAUUUUCCUUUCUCAGCUGUCCAAGUGACAUAACAGUUAAACAGCCCUGCAGGGCUAUUCAGAAGGCAAAUUCCCAGUGAUAAAGUCACUUCAGAUAAAUCCCAGUGAUAUUGUCACCUCAGGUAGGCACCAGGAAGGGCUCUGAGGUUCAGACACUUCAUAUGGAGAGUACCCCCAUUUUGUGUAUCUUACCAUAGCAGACCCCUUCCAAUGUUCAUUAUCUGUCAUGAAAAUGCGCUUUCCCUUCUCUGAUAAAAAAUUAAUGCAAGUAAAACGUUGACCUUUUCACUGUUUAUUGAACAUCAGAAACACUCAGCUCUUUGCUGGUGGUGAACUUCAGUAAAUUUUGGUGCCCUAGUCUUGAGAAAUUGCUGCUUUUCUGUUUGGGUUUUUGAGACAGAAAUGAAAUAUUGAUAAGUUGGUUGUAAGCUGUAUAAACUUAGUAUUUCUACAACAACUUGUCCAGAAAGACAUUCUUAAAUGCUUCCUGUAGCUCCUGCCAUUGCCUGUGGGGCUGUAGGGAUUUUAAAUCAGAAUGGGAAGAUUUAGUAUUGGCAUACAUAAUAAUUUGGUUUAUGUUGUGUAAA